UACGUAGGGGGCAAGCGUUGUCCGGAAUCAUUGGGCGUAAAGCGCGCGUAGGCGGCCAGAUUAGUCCGGUGUGAAAGUCAGAGGCUCAACCUCGAGACGCCGGUGGAAACCCUCUGGCUAGAGUCCGGAAGAGGAGAGUGGAAUUCCUGGUGUAGCGGUGAAAUGCGCAGAUAUCAGGAAGAACACCCGUGGCGAAGGCGGCUCUCUGGGACGGUACUGACGCUGAGACGCGAAAGCGUGGGGAGCAAACAGG
rnacentral:rRNA from 1 species